rnacentral:rRNA from 1 species
GUUGAGGAAGAUAAUGACGGUACUCAACAAGGAAGUGACGGCUAACUACGUGCCAGCAGCCGCGGUAAAACGUAGGUCACAAGCGUUGUCCGGAAUUACUGGGUGUAAAGGGAGCGCAGGCGGGAAGACAAGUUGGAAGUGAAAUCUAUGGGCUCAACCCAUAAACUGCUUUCAAAACUGUUUUUCUUGAGUAGUGCAGAGGUAGGCGGAAUUCCCGGUGUAGCGGUGGAAUGCGUAGAUAUCGGGAGGAACACCAGUGGCGAAGGCGGCCUACUGGGCACCAACUGACGCUGAGGCUCGAAAGUGUGGGUAGCAAACAGGAUUAGAUACCCUGGUAGUCCACACUGUAAACGAUGAUUACUAGGUGUUGGAGGAUUGACCCCUUCAGUGCCGCAGUUAACACAAUAAGUAAUCCACCUGGGGAGUACGACCGCAAGGUUGAAACUCAAAGGAAUUGACGGGGGCCCGCACAAGCAGUGGAGUAUGUGGUUUAAUUCGACGCAACGCGAAGAACCUUACCAAGUCUUGACAUCCUGCGACGAUGCUGGAAACAGUAUUUUCCUUCGGGACGCAGAGACAGGUGGUGCAUGGUUGUCGUCAGCUCGUGUCGUGAGAUGUUGGGUUAAGUCCCGCAACGAGCGCAACCCUUAUGGUCAGUUACUACGCAAGAGGACUCUGGCCGGACUGCG